rnacentral:rRNA from 1 species
AGUCAUGUAUAAGGGCGUAUGGAGGAUGCCUAGACACUAAGAGGCGACGAAGGACGUGACGUGCCUGCGAUAAACUUCGGGGAGGCGGCUAGUGGCCUGCGAUCCGGAGGUGUCCGAACGGGGAAACCCAGUACAGUAAACCUGUAUUACUCGGCGAAAGCCGGGAGCAUACCUGGGGAAGUGAAACAUCUCAGUACCCAGAGGAAAAUAAAUAGAAUAGAUUCCGUGAGUAGCGGCGAGCGAAAGCGGAACAGCCUAAACCUUUUUACGAUAGCAAUAUUGUGGGAAGGGGUAAUAGGGACGAUACACUUGAAUUUUUUACAUCGGAAUCUUCCAUCGAAGACGAUGUAAAAGAUUUAA